UUGUGUAGUUUCUUAUGUUUAUAUGGUUAUGUAAAUUUAAAAUUCAUUCCAUCAAUAUUUCGCAAUUCGGCGGCAAGUCGCUUGCUGCGUCUGCGCAGCUGCCUAGACGUGCCCGCGCAUCCACCGAAAAACAACAGAGAGGGCGCGGAGCCGACGAUACUACUUUUGUCCAAACGCUAUAACCUAUGAUGCAUCGCACAUGCGCAGUGCGUGGACGAGUGUUGGAUACCUUAUAUUGGAACAAAAACAAACCAAUCGGUGCUGGCUACAUUAUAUCUCAACAGGGGACAGAGAACCAGCGCCGCUUACUGGUCAGUGGUCGAAGAUGUGUCAGUCCAUCAGUCUUCACCGAAUGUGUUCGACGCGCUUAGUUUGAAGGCUCUACGCUUUGGUUCUGUCUCCCAAACAAACCGGAGCUACCCGAUUGCAAAUUAUCACGGAACGAUACUCUAAUUAAUCAGCUGCUGUCUGUCAGCUUUGAACUUCUCUCACUCCCCCUUUACCUUGGGCUUCAUUGAUCAGGAGUACAAUCAUGAUCCAUUUGCUCAUGCUUAUCACUCAGCUGUCUAUU